GGGAAUCAUCUCUACUUGGAGACUGUCUCCUUUGGAAGUUUCUAGGGAGCCUUGGUCCUGAAAAAUGGCUGCAUGAAGUGAAUUAGCCUGGCUAAAAAAGGAGUUGAAAAUAGAUCACUGGAGCCAACUGAAGCAGCCUGUCCCAGACACAUUGCAAGUUGAACUUGUAUUUCCAAAGUGGCAAAAAGAGAAGGCUUUCAGGGGUUGCAUGGGUUUGGCUGUCACUUAGAACAAAGUGUCCUUUGUCACCCCAUUUUUAUUGACUUGUCUCCCUAUGGAAAAGAAGAGGAAAAGAAGAUGACCGCAGUGAUGUGGCAAAGAAGGUCAUUCCCCUGGUAUGCCCUUGGACAGUUCUUCUCUGACAUUCUGGUGCCAUUAAUUAAGACAUCACAACUCUGGGUGGACUCUCAGAGUUUUCAUCAGGCUCAGCAAGUCUUUCCCACCUCUAAGAGUUAAUGUUUGUAAUCUUGUCCUACAGCAGACAAAGUGUGGUCAAUCUGUCAGAGGGAGAGAAAAGAUUUCUUCUUGCAGCCCCUGGAAGAGACCUGGCAGGUCUCUCCAUGAACCAUCAAGUCAAAAGAUAUUGAUUGCUUCCAUCUUGUGAGGAGCCUUUCCUGCCCAGUGGAGAUGUCACCUCUCUUUCCUGUUCAUAUGAGUCCAAAAAAACUCUUGGUUUUUCUCCAGCCUGAAAGAAGUAGGAGUGUCCCAGUUAAAGGACAACUGCUUCAGUCCUUUGCUGCUUUUCCUCUACCACCUUGGUCAAAAAGGAGAAUGUCCCUGUCAGCUGCAUGGCUCCCAGAGGAGCCUGAGCUGUCCUGGGUACUGGCAAUUUGGGAAGCCAGUGGAUAUACAUCAAUAUUCACCUCCUCUUCUCUAUGGACUGCAGCAUAGACACUGUGUGACACUGAAUUGGACUGGAAAGAAAAAGUCAAAAUGGACAUUACUUCUUGUUGGAAAUGUCUGUUUUCAUCCAGGGACACAUCUAGGCAGGGAAGGUUUUACUUUACUCUUGGAUUUUACUGAAGCUGCAAUAGUCAGUUCUCCCCAUUACUUGAGGAGCUGCAGCAUGAGUCUGUUACAGAUCCUGACUUUCACAGUGUAGAUGGAUGAGGUCAUGGAGAAAAAUGCAUGAUUAUUUUACUUGAAUAGUUUAAAU